rnacentral:rRNA from 1 species
GAUGAACGCUGGCGGCGUGCCUAAUACAUGCAAGUCGAGCGAACAGACGAGGAGCUUGCUCCUCUGACGUUAGCGGCGGACGGGUGAGUAACACGUGGAUAACCUACCUAUAAGACUGGGAUAACUUCGGGAAACCGGAGCUAAUACCGGAUAAUAUAUUGAACCGCAUGGUUCAAUAGUGAAAGACGGUUUUGCUGUCACUUAUAGAUGUAUCCGCGCCGCAUUAGCUAGUUGGUAAGGUAACGGCUUACCAAGGCAACGAUGCGUAGCCGACCUGAGAGGGUGAUCGGCCACACUGGAACUGAGACACGGUCCAGACUCCUACGGGAGGCAGCAGUAGGGAAUCUUCCGCAAUGGGCGAAAGCCUGAAGGAGCAACGCCGCGUGAGUGAUGAAGGUCUUCGGAUCGUAAAACUCUGUUAUUAGGGAAGAACAAAUGUGUAAGUAACUAUGCACGUCUUGACGGUACCUAAUCAGAAAGCCACGGCUAACUACGUG